CGAGGGGCAGCAUGGUCUUAGCUUGCUAAGGCCGAUGGCGACCGGCGCACGGGUGAGUAACACGUAUCCAACCUGCCGUCUACUCUUGGACAGCCUUCUGAAAGGAAGAUUAAUACAAGAUGGCAUCAUGAGUCCGCAUGUUCACAUGAUUAAAGGUAUUCCGGUAGACGAUGGGGAUGCGUUCCAUUAGAUAGUAGGCGGGGUAACGGCCCACCUAGUCUUCGAUGGAUAGGGGUUCUGAGAGGAAGGUCCCCCACAUUGGAACUGAGACACGGUCCAAACUCCUACGGGAGGCAGCAGUGAGGAAUAUUGGUCAAUGGGCGAGAGCCUGAACCAGCCCAAGUAGCGUGAAGGAUGACUGCCCUAUGGGUUGUAAACUUCUUUUAUAACGGAAUAAAGUCGGGUAUGGAUACCCGUUUGCAUGUACUUUAUGACUAAGGAUCGGCUAACUCCGUGCCAGCAGCCGCGGUAAUACGGAGGAUCCGAGCGUUAUCCGGAUUUAUUGGGUUUAAAGGGAGCGUAGAUGGAUAUUUAAGUCAGUUGUGAAAGUUUGCGGCUCAACCGUAAAAUUGCAGUUGAUACUGGAUAUCUUGAGUGCAGUUGAGGCAGGCGGAAUUCGUGGUGUAGCGGUGAAAUGCUUAGAUAUCACGAAGAACUCCGAUUGCGAAGGCAGCCUGCUAAGCUGCAACUGACAUUGAGGCU
rnacentral:rRNA from 1 species